rnacentral:rRNA from 1 species
UACAGAGGUCUCAAGCGUUUGUUCGGAUUCAUUGGGCGUAAAGGGUGCGUAGGCGGCGCGGUAAGUCGGGGUGUGAAAUCUCGGGAGCUUAACUCCGAAACUGCAUUCGAUACUGCCGUGCUUGAGGACUGGAGAGGAGACUGGAAUUUACGGUGUAGCGGUGAAAUGCGUAGAUAUCGUAAGGAAGACCAGUGGCGAAGGCGGGUCUCUGGACAGUUCCUGACGCUGAGGCACGAAGGUCAGGGGAGCAAACGGGG